GAGGUUAAGCGACUAAGCGUACACGGUGGAUGCCCUGGCAGUCAGAGGCGAUGAAGGACGUGCUAAUCUGCGAUAAGCGCCGGUAAGGUGAUAUGAACCGUUAUAACCGGCGAUUUCCGAAUGGGGAAACCCAGUGUGACUCGUCACACUAUCAUUAACUGAAUCCAUAGGUUAAUGAGGCGAACCGGGGGAACUGAAACAUCUAAGUACCCCGAGGAAAAGAAAUCAACCGAGAUUCCCCCAGUAGCGGCGAGCGAACGGGGAGGAGCCCAGAGCCUGAAUCAGCAUGUGUGUUAGUGGAAGCGUCUGGAAAGGCGCGCGAUACAGGGUGACAGCCCCGUACACAAAAGCGCAUGUGCUGUGAGCUCGAUGAGUAGGGCGGGACACGUGGUAUCCUGUCUGAAUAUGGGGGGACCAUCCUCCAAGGCUAAAUACUCCUGACUGACCGAUAGUGAACCAGUACCGUGAGGGAAAGGCGAAAAGAACCCCGGCGAGGGGAGUGAAAAAGAACCUGAAACCGUGUACGUACAAGCAGUGGGAGCACCCUUUGGGGUGUGACUGCGUACCUUUUGUAUAAUGGGUCAGCGACUUAUAUUCUGUAGCAAGGUUAACCGAAUAGGGGAGCCGGAGGGAAACCGAGUCUUAAUUGGGCGUUAAGUUGCAGGGUAUAGACCCGAAACCCGGUGAUCUAGCCAUGGGCAGGUUGAAGGUUGGGUAACACUAACUGGAGGACCGAACCGACUAAUGUUGAAAAAUUAGCGGAUGACCUGUGGCUGGGGGUGAAAGGCCAAUCAAACCGGGAGAUAGCUGGUUCUCCCCGAAAGCUAUUUAGGUAGCGCCUCGUGAAUUCAUCUCCGGGGGUAGAGCACUGUUUCGGCUAGGGGGCCAUCCCGGCUUACCAACCCGAUGCAAACUGCGAAUACCGGAGAAUGUUAUCACGGGAGACACACGGCGGGUGCUAACGUCCGUCGUGAAGAGGGAAACAACCCAGACCGCCAGCUAAGGUCCCAAAGUCAUGGUUAAGUGGGAAACGAUGUGGGAAGGCCCAGACAGCCAGGAUGUUGGCUUAGAAGCAGCCAUCAUUUAAAGAAAGCGUAAUAGCUCACUGGUCGAGUCGGCCUGCGCGGAAGAUGUAACGGGGCUAAACCAUG
rnacentral:rRNA from 2 species